GAUAAACGCUGGCGGCGCACAUAAGACAUGCAAGUCGAACGAACGAGAGUGAAUCUUUUAGUUUUGCUCAAGUUAGUGGCGGACUGGUGAGUAACGCGUGAGCAACCUGCCUACGAGAGGGGAAUAACAGUUAGAAAUGACUGCUAAUACCGCAUAAGCUGAAAGAAUCGCAUGAUUAAGUCAGAAAAGGAGCAAUCCGCUUGUAGAUGGGCUCGCGUCCGAUUAGCUAGUUGGUGAGGUAAAGGCUUACCAAGGCGACGAUCGGUAGCCGGACUGAGAGGUUGAACGGCCACAUUGGGACUGAGAUACGGCCCAG
rnacentral:rRNA from 1 species